GCUACUGGGAGGGUAGCCUGGUUGAAGCCUGGUUGUUGGAGGGGGAGACCGACUGUCUCCCCUUUAACUACACUGCUCUGCUGCUGGAGACUGACUGUCUCCCCUUUAGAUACACCGCUCUGCUGCUGGAGACCGACUGUCUCCCCUUUUGUUGCACAGCUCUGCUGCCGGAGGGGGAGACCGACUGUCUCCCCUUUGGAUACUCUAAGCUGUCGCUGGGGAGAGGGGGUAACAGGCUCCUCUCCCGAUAGAACACUCUGCCG